AACGUCUUUUGGUAUGAUGAGGCAGACGCUCUACCACUAGACCAUGAGAGCGGUCAGACACCACAGUGGAACAUACCUGACAAUAAUGUAAACAAUUGUAAUGCAAAACGAAGCACUUUAUUUACCAUUGGAAACAUUUGCCCAACAAAAGGCACAUGCUAGCUUUCUUGAUGAAAUGUUGAUAAAUACUGCAUACAUACACAUGGGCACACAAGUUGUGUGGUCAAUGGUGCCAGGGAAAGACUAUUAUUGGUAUACUAUUAUACACUGUACAGACAGGUGUAGCUGUCUACACACGCCUGAGCUCAGUAGACUGUACAGACAGGUGUAGCUGUCUACACACGCCUGGAGCUCAGUACACAGUACAGACAGGUGUAGCUGUCUACACACACACCUGGAGCUCAGUACACAGUACAGACAGGUGUAGCUGUCUACACACACCUGGAGCUCAGUACACGGUACAGACAGGUGUAGCUGUCUACACACACACCUGGAGCUCAGUACACGGUACAGACAGGUGUAACUGUCUACACACGCCUGGAGCUCAGUACAUU